rnacentral:rRNA from 1 species
UUGAACGCUGGCGGCAUGCCUUACCCCUGCCAGUCGCACGGCAGCACGGGUGCUUGCACCUGGUGGCGAGUGGCGAACGGGUGAGUAAUACAUCGGAACAUGUCCUGUAGUGGGGGAUAGCCCGGCGAAAGCCGGAUUAAUACCGCAUACGAUCUACGGAUGAAAGCGGGGGACCUUCGGGCCUCGCGCUAUAGGGUUGGCCGAUAGCUGAUUAGCUAGUUGGUGGGGUAAAGGCCUACCAAGGCGACGAUCAGUAGCUGGUCUGAGAGGACGACCAGCCACACUGGGACUGAGACACGGCCCAGACUCCUACGGGAGGCAGCAGUGGGGAAUUUUGGACAAUGGGCGAAAGCCUGAUCCAGCAAUGCCGCGUGUGUGAAGAAGGCCUUCGGGUUGUAAAGCACUUUUGUCCGGAAAGAAAUCCUUGGCUCUAAUACAGUCGGGGGAUGACGGUACCGGAAGAAUAAGCACCGGCUAACUACGUG